CCUACGGGGGGCAGCAGUGGGGAAUAUUGGGCAAUGGGCGCAAGCCUGACCCAGCAACGCCGCGUGAAGGAAGAAGGCUUUCGGGUUGUAAACUUCUUUUGACAGGGAAGAGUAGAAGACGGUACCUGUCGAAUAAGCCACGGCUAACUACGUGCCAGCAGCCGCGGUAAUACGUAGGGGGCGAGCGUUGUCCGGAAUCACUGGGCGUAAAGGGCGCGUAGGCGGUAAUAUAAGUCAGAUGUGAAAGGUGGGGGCUCAACCCCUAGAGUGCAACUGAUACUGUAUAACUUGAGUGUGAGAGAGGGAAGCGGAAUUCCUAGUGUAGCGGUGAAAUGCGUAGAUAUUAGGAGGAACACCAGUGGCGAAGGCGGCUUUCUGGCUCAUAACUGACGCUGAGGCGCGAAAGCGUGGGGAGCAAACAGGAUUAGAUACCCGAGUAGUC
rnacentral:rRNA from 1 species